rnacentral:lncRNA from 1 species
GUGAAACAAGUGAUCCAGCGAGCGCCACUUUUGCUGCACUGAAUGCUGCUGAGCAGCGUUCAAGGGCAAAGCAUGGAUCACAAACUCCUGGGAGGAGAUGAUACUAGUCGUCUCUCAAACCGUCAUCCGAGGCAGAAUGAGGAAUGAUCUUCUUAUAUCAAGGACCUCAAAAAUUAUGACCAAGACAGGCAGCCCACCCUCCUUGGGACAUCUGGGAUGAUUUGAAGAGAACGGCCUUAACUCUGUCCCUGAAUGUCCCUUCAGAGUCACAAGUAGCCAUAGUUCCCCUGCUACUUCCAGCCGGGCUAGAACAACUGCUUUGCACUCCUGCGGCGGGGUUCGGAGCAUGGGAAGGGCAAAGGCCCUCCUUGGGAGAGGACAGGCCUCCUGCUUUGCCAGCCAACACCACUGGAGAGAAGCUGACGCCACCUUGCC